GAUGAACGCUGGCGGCGUGCCUAAUACAUGCAAGUCGAGCGAACGGACGAGAAGCUUGCUUCUCUGAUGUUAGCGGCGGACGGGUGAGUAACACGUGGAUAACCUACCUAUAACACUGGGAUAACUUCGGGAAACCGGAGCUAAUACCGGAUAAUAUUUUGAACCGCAUGGUUCAAAAGUGAAAGACGGUCUUGCUGUCACUUAUAGAUGGAUCCGCGCUGCAUUAGCUAGUUGGUAAGGUAACGGCUUACCAAGGCAACGAUGCAUAGCCGACCUGAGAGGGUGAUCGGCCAAACUGGAACUGAGACACGGUCCAGACUCCUACGGGAGGCAGCAGUAGGGAAUCUUCCGCAAUGGGCGAAAGCCUGACGGAGCAACGCCGCGUGAGUGAUGAAGGUCUUCGGAUCGUAAAACUCUGUUAUUAGGGAAGAACAUAUGUGUAAGUAACUGUGCACAUCUUGACGGUACCUAAUCAAAAAGCCACGGCUAACUACGUG
rnacentral:rRNA from 1 species